GAGGGCAUAGCUCAGUGGUAGAGUGCAUAGUUAGCAUGCAUGAGGUCCUGGGUUCAAUGUUCAGUACCCUCG
rnacentral:tRNA from 1 species